rnacentral:rRNA from 1 species
AGUGAACGCUGGCGGCGUGCUUAACACAUGCAAGUCGAACGAGAACGGAUUAUAGCUUGCUAUACUUGUCAGCUAAGUGGCGCACGGGUGAGUAAUGUAUAGGUAAUAUGCAUCUUACUUAGGGAUGACAAUUGGAAACGAUUGCUAAUACCUUAGAUUCAUUUUUAUCAAAAGAUAACAAGGGAAAGAUUUAUUGGUAAGAGAUUAGCCUGUAUUGUAUCAGUUAGUUGGUGGGGUAAUGGCCUACCAAGACGAUGACGCAUAACUGGUUUGAGAGGAUGAUCAGUCACACUGGAACUGAGACACGGUCCAGACUCCUACGGGAGGCAGCAGUGGGGAAUAUUGCACAAUGGACGAAAGUCUGAUGCAGCAACGCCGUGUGGAGGAUGACACAUUUCGGUGCGUAAACUCCUUUUAUAUAAGAAGAUAAUGACGGUAUUAUAUGAAUAAGCACCGGCUAACUCCGUGCCAGCAGCCGCAGUAA